AUUGAACGCUGGCGGCAGGCCUAACACAUGCAAGUCGAGCGGUAGAGAGAAGCUUGCUUCUCUUGAGAGCGGCGGACGGGUGAGUAAUGCCUAGGAAUCUGCCUGGUAGUGGGGGAUAACGUUCGGAAACGGACGCUAAUACCGCAUACGUCCUACGGAGAAAGCAGGGGACCUUCGGGCCUUGCGCUAUCAGAUGAGCCUAGGUCGGAUUAGCUAGUUGGUGGGGUAAUGGCUCACCAAGGCGACGAUCCGUAACUGGUCUGAGAGGAUGAUCAGUCACACUGGAACUGAGACACGGUCCAGACUCCUACGGGAGGCAGCAGUGGGGAAUAUUGGACAAUGGGCGAAAGCCUGAUCCAGCCAUGCCGCGUGUGUGAAGAAGGUCUUCGGAUUUUAAAGCACUUUAAGUUGGGAGGAAGGGCAGUAAAUUAAUACUUUGCUGUUUUGACGUUACCGACAGAAUAAGCACCGGCUAACUCUGUG
rnacentral:rRNA from 1 species